rnacentral:rRNA from 1 species
GUACACUCCUACGGGAGGCAGCAGUGAGGAAUAUUGGACAAUGGGUGGAAGCCUGAUCCAGCCAUCCCGCGUGCAGGAAGACGGCCCUAUGGGUUGUAAACUGCUUUUAUCUGGGGAUAAACCUACUUACGUGUAAGUAGCUGAAGGUACCAGAAGAAUAAGCACCGGCUAACUCCGUGCCAGCAGCCGCGGUAAUACGGAGGGUGCAAGCGUUAUCCGGAUUUAUUGGGUUUAAAGGGUCCGUAGGCGGACUGAUAAGUCAGUGGUGAAAUCCGACAGCUUAACUGUCGAACUGCCAUUGAUACUGUUAGUCUUGAGUAAGGUUGAAGUGGCUGGAAUAAGUAGUGUAGCGGUGAAAUGCAUAGAUAUUACUUAGAACACCAAUUGCGAAGGCAGGUCACUAAGUCUUAACUGACGCUGAUGGACGAAAGCGUGGGGAGCGAACAGGAUUAGAAACCCGAGUAGUCC